rnacentral:rRNA from 1 species
UACGUAGGGUGCGAGCGUUGUCCGGAAUUAUUGGGCGUAAAGAGCUUGUAGGCGGCUUGUCGCGUCUGCCGUGAAAAUCCGAGGCUCAACCUCGGACUUGCGGUGGGUACGGGCAGACUAGAGUGUGGUAGGGGAGACUGGAAUUCCUGGUGUAGCGGUGAAAUGCGCAGAUAUCAGGAGGAACACCGAUGGCGAAGGCAGGUCUCUGGGCCACUACUGACGCUGAGAAGCGAAAGCAUGGGGAGCGAACAGG